rnacentral:rRNA from 1 species
ACAACUUUGGCUUAUGCAGGGGUCUCAUUAUUUAAAUAAACAAACAACUGCUCGUCUGGGCUCUGUGGUGAUACAAUAUAACUUGUCGACUCGCCUGCCCCUGGCGUGGCGUCGUUCAAUCCAAAUUUCUGUCCAUAUUAACUUUCGAGGGUAGUAUAGUGGCCUACCACGGCCGCAUCCCGUUCCGGAGAAGUUCGGUUCGAUUCCGGAGAGGGAGCCUGAGAAUCCGCCUUCACAUUCCAAGGAAGGCAGCAGGCGCGCAAAUUACCCAAUCCCCAACACGGGGAGGUAGUGACAAUAAAUACUGAUACAGGGCUCUUUCGGGUCUUGUAAUUGGAAUGAGUACAAUCUAAAUCCCUUAACGAGGAACAAUUGGAGGGCAAGUCUGGUGCCAGCAGCCGCGGUAAUUCCAGCUCCAAUAGCGUAUAUUAAAGUUGUUGCAGUUAAAAAGCUCGUAGUUGAACCUUGGGUCUGGCUGGCCGGUCCGCUUCGCGGCGUGCACUGGUCCGGCUGGACCUUUCCUUCUGGGGAACCCUAUGGCCUUCACUGGCUGUAGGGGGAACCAGGACUUUUACUGUGAAAAAAUUAGAGUGUUCAAAGCAGGCCUUUGCUCGGAUACAUUAGCAUGGAAUAAUAGAAUAGGACGUGUGGUUCUAUUUUGUUGGUUUCUAGGACCGCCGUAAUGAUUAAUAGGGAUAGUCGGGGGCGUCAGUAUUCGGCUGUCAGAGGUGAAAUUCUUGGAUUUGCUGAAGACUAACUACUGCGAAAGCAUUCGCCAAGGAUGUUUUCAUUAAUCAGUGAACGAAAGUUAGGGGAUCGAAGACGAUCAGAUACCGUCGUAGUCUUAACCAUAAACUAUGCCGACUAGGGAUCGGACGGGCAACUUUGAAUAACCCGUUCGGCACCUUACGAGAAAUCAAAGUUUUUGGGUUCUGGGGGGAGUAUGGUCGCAAGGCUGAAACUUAAAGAAAUUGACGGAAGGGCACCACCAGGCGUGGAGCCUGCGGCUUAAUUUGACUCAACACGGGGAAACUCACCAGGUCCAGACAAAAUAAGGAUUGACAGAUUGAGAGCUCUUUCUUGAUCUUUUGGAUGGUGGUGCAUGGCCGUUCUUAGUUGGUGGAGUGAUUUGUCUGCUUAAUUGCGAUAACGAACGAGACCUUAACCUGCUAAAUAGCCCGACCCACGUUUGUGGGCCGCUGGCUUCUUAGAGGGACUAUCGGCUCAAGCCGAUGGAAGUUUGAGGCAAUAACAGGUCUGUGAUGCCCUUAGAUGUUCUGGGCCCCACGCGCGCUACACUGACAGGGCCAGCGAGUACAUCACCUUGGCCGAGAGGUCUGGGUAAUCUUGUUAAACC